CCAAUAGCGUAUAUUAAAGUUGUUGCAGUUAAAAAGCUCGUAGUUGAAUUUCGGGAUUGACGUGAUGGUCAUGCCUUAAGGGGUAUGAACUGUCACAGUUGAUUUCUCACCUUCUGGAGAAACUUGAUGUCCUUUAUUGGGUGUCUUGCGGAUCCAGGACCUUUACCUUGAAAAAAUUAGAGUGUUUAAAGCAGGCAUUUUUGCUCGAAUACAUUAGCAUGGAAUAAUAGAAUAGGACGGCAUGGUUCUAUUUUGUUGGUUUCUAGGAUCACCGUAAUGAUUAAUAGGGAUAGUUGGGGGCAUUAGUAUUCAAUUGUCAGAGGUGAAAUUCUUGGAUUUAUUGAAGACUAACUACUGCGAAAGCAUUUGCCAAGGAUGUUUUCAUUAAUCAAGAACGAAAGUUAGGGGAUCGAAGACGAUCAGAUACCGUCGUAGUCUUAACCAUAAACUAUGCCGACUAGGAAUCAGACGAUGUUAAUUUUUUAAUGACUCGUUUGGCACCUUAC
rnacentral:rRNA from 1 species